UACGAAGGGUGCAAGCGUUAAUCGGAAUUACUGGGCGUAAAGGGUGCGUAGGCGGUUCGUUAGGUCUGUUGUGAAAUCCCCGGGCUCAACCUGGGAAUGGCAAUGGAUACUGGCGAGCUAGAGUGUGAUAGAGGAUGGUGGAAUUCCCGGUGUAGCGGUGAAAUGCGUAGAGAUCGGGAGGAACAUCAGUGGCGAAGGCGGCCAUCUGGAUCAACACUGACGCUGAAGCACGAAAGCGUGGGGAGCAAACAGG
rnacentral:rRNA from 1 species